UAGGAAACAAGGAUAAAAUCAGCUGCUAACUGACUUUUAAAACGGUUAAAUUCCGUUUUUUCCUUG
rnacentral:tRNA from 1 species